CACUGUCGGUGUUUGUACCUCCCACAGACAGCACAGCAAGGGGGGAAAAUCACCUGGAAGGUGAUGCUCUGGUCCCCUCCCAGCCGUAUCCUGGGGCGCUGUGCCUCUGUUGGGGCUCGUUUACAUGACUCAAGUGAUGCGGCUUCACCCGCCGGGGAUUAGCCCACAAUCUAGCAGAUCUCGCUAGCUGGAAGUGCUUUUGGAUUUCAGCCUGCGUUUUCUGGGCUCGGUUUUAUCCCAUAGUCACACUGCCUGGACCACCCAAAACAGUUCCUCUCCAGACCUGGAUAUUUAUACCCCUGGAGUAGAGGGCUGGUAGCUUUACCAUCACGCUCUUCCUUCGCGCUCUGCUCUCUCAUUCAGACAAACCACUUGUAUUUAAUUCUUAAUAUUUUUUCUCUUCUCUAAUCCAUUAAUCACUUUUGUUGCAGCUGUCUGAAUUCUCUGCAAUUUGCCAAAGUCUUUGUGGUAACAGAAGACACACACACACACACGUGAACUUUGUAUCUCCUAAAACUCUGCCUGAUAAAGACAUGGACCAGUACGCACAUACACAGAAGCACGCCAGACAUUUUCCAAAUUCACUCUUUUUAUAGAAAGAGCUUAGCUUCUCUCAGGCAGGAAGUAAAAGACAUUUGUCUUUUGAAGUCCCCUAACAGCGGUGGAAAGGUAACACACUGUAUUUGUUUCAGAUAAGAAACGGGCUCCCAGCUGCUUUCCACUAGUGCUCAUUCCGUCUUGCAAAAGCGAUGUGUUUAUUGAUGCCUUCCUCUUCCAGGUCUCUAAGGAAGCUCAUGUGGAAAUUUCAUGUUCUGGUUUUCAGAAACCAUUCAACUUGCCUUCAGAAAUGGUUCAGUGAGCUGCUUAAGGACACCUUCUACCUGUCCCUCGUGCUCUCCUUCAGCUUUUUUCUCCUUUUUCCUAAGAAAACUGGAUAGGGAGAUAGCUCACAGAUAUGAAUAAGGAAAGACAUGAAUAAGGAAACCUCAUUCACCACUGUCCUUCUCUAGCAUUUUGUAAGUUCAGACUGCAGCUGGAUGACAAAAUACGGCAGAGAAGGAUGUGACUCUACCCCAGGGUAAAACUUCUGCCACCCUGAUGUGGAAUUGCAUCCUUGCUCCACCACAGACUGGGGGAUGAUCUUGGGCAAGUGUAUCACUGGUCUCUGUGCAGCAGCCACCUUUUCCCAAAACUGUACAGGCUCUCCUGUACAAUGUAUAGUCUACAUGUUAAACCCUUAACACUUUAAAGGCUAGAAGGUAAUCAGUGACUACCAACUAUUGUGGAAGAUUAACUUCCCAGCUAUAGUUUGGGGUCAGAUAUAUAAUAAGGACCUUGAUUUUGCAGACAGGUAAAUACAUGCAACCUCAAGUUCCAUUUAACUGCAGCAAGAACAGCAAAAAAUGGGGGAAAAGAGCACAUGCCACAUCCAAAUGCACUUUAUACUGAAAACUUGUUCACUGCAAGGCAGGGCAGAGGAAAAAAAAAUCCCUUGCAGGUUGAUGCCACUUACCCACAGGCAAGUUCUCUGCUCUAGCAAGAUGACUGUGAAUAUCUAGCAUCAGAAGUAAAUGUCCUAGUAAAUGUCCAGGGCAGUUUCAUAGCAACAGAGUUGUAAAAAAAAUAAAUAGAAUAGGCAGGCAUGCUCAAAUAGCCACUGAAAACCUCACUACUUAUUUCACUUUCCUAGUCUAUUUGUCCGCUUACAAUAUCCAAGAGGCAUUUUUAUUCAGAAGUUAAAAGAAGUCAACCAAAACUCUUCUUCGCUUGCUCGUUUCAUACCAACAAAGCAUGUACAUGCAAAUAUCUUGUGCAUAAAGAGAAACUCUUAAAGUCAUUAUGACAUUAUUUGUACCCUGAAGCGAGUCAUAAUUUGUAUGCACCCUGCCAAGUACUUUCUGUCAAAGCUAAAGUAAUUAUUAGGAAGUAUGAAAGCAGGUGUCACUUCUGGCAAGUUGUAAGAUGGCUUUAUAUUCUCAGUUGCAAUAGGAUAAAAAUGAUCCCUAAAAAGAGCAUAGCAGGCUAUUACUUUACAUCCAGUAUGUAUGUGAAGCAUAACAGUUGCUGCUUGUACUUUUUUUUUUCCUCCCUGGUAUUUUAAUUAAAGAUUCAAGCUACUAAAAGACAAAACCUAAAAAUAUGUGCAAAAUCAAUCCCUUUUUGCAUAAUUUCUAUUUAGUUUCAUAACCAACUGUCAAGCCAUCUGACCCUCAUUUGCAUGUGCUAUAAGGCAGGCAGCCGAGCUCGCUGCCACUGCAGAGAAACAAGUCGCCCGUCCCCGCUCACUCCCACACGCCAACCUCCGGCUCCUCAGAGGAAUCUGUGCUGCAGCACUUCAGGACAGAGGGGACACCGAUUGUUAUGAUUACAGGGCCAAAAUGUUCCAACUUGGGUGCCUAAAUUUAAACACCAAACUCCAUGUUUAGGCAUCCGAACAAGCAGCUAGUGUUUCAAAGGUGCUGGGCACCCAGCAUCUCCUAUUUGUUUCUGCCAAACUUGCCAAAAAGAACAUCUGCUUUUAAUUAAUUCUCUGAGAGCUGCAGGUACACGGGACCUUUGAAAACCAUCCCGCUUACUUCAGUCCCUAAAUAUAAAUCCAGGUGCCUACCUCUAGGCAGUCAACUUUUAAAAUGCUGAAAAAGAAUAAAAUAGUAUUAUUAAAUACACACACACAUAAGUAUAUAUAUUACACAUACGGAUAUAUCCAAGGCCUUUGGAUUCUCGUUCCAUACUCGACACAUGACAUGAUGUAAAAGAAAGCAGAUCUGAAUUUGUCAGAAAGCAGCAUUUCAUGCUGCGACAGGAAUAUGUACAUUGCUAACAAUUAACAUAAUUGUAGUAAGGAAAUGCAUUCAGGGAAACUUUCUUCAAAAGUUGCUCCUCUUCCUUGGAUAAGCAACCAACCAGACUAACCCCCAGAGAGUUUAGGGAAACUGAAAAUUUACUAGUGUAUUUAUUAUGCAAGUUUAUUUUAUUUUUCUCUCAUUCAGCCAGACACCCACAUUCUUGACAGAGUAGAGCUUGAAAAGAUUUUUUUUUAAUUUAAAAACUACAAACAGAAGAAAAAUACAGGCUACCACCUGCCUCUGCAAAUCUUUUAAGUGUGCAUUUGUGCUUCUGUGAACGAUGCAACUGACUAGCCCAUAAAGAAUAAUAUUCAAACACAGGAGCAAUAUCCCACCCUACAACAGGGCACAGGCUCAAAAGGCAACAUGACAACGCACGUCUGCACGUACGUAAAAUGCUGUCCUGAACCAGGAAUGCCAUGCUGUGAGAUGGAGAGAGGCUGAUUCAUCCCAGGGCUCAGGAAAGGAAUGCUACCCACUGUGGCAAUGGGAAGUCACUGCUGUGGGGCUGCCCUAUUUCCAUCUGGGACUUGCCAGGUAAGUGCAUGCUCCUCUGUGCGUAUGUUGUCGAUGCGCAGAAUCAUAUCUAUGCUUUGGAUUUAUAAAAAAACGCACGAGCCAGGCUUACAGUUUACACACUACACGCAGCUAGUUUGUACCUGUGCAGGGCAAAGGCUGGUAUUUCCACACCUAAACCCACAGAGUUUCACACACUGCAUUAGGGCUCCAACUGAGCCACCAGAGGCACAAAAACCUCAGGACAAAGGCAAAAAUAUUAUCACCACUGUUAUUACUGCUAUUUUCUUUCUUUUUUUUUUUUUAAGGCCUCAGAUUCCAAGCAGGCAAAACCUCUAGGCCAGAAAAAGAAAAAAUAUAUAUAUGCCUGGGGAAAUCCAGAAGCUUAUUUAUGGCAGUUCUACAUUAGGCUCAUGAAACAACAGGGGAUAGGCCCAGUCCUGCUACCUCUUCAGGAAGGUCUGGCUCCCACCAGAACCAGAACCAGAACCGGGACCAAGACCAGGACCAGGACCAGGUCCAUGGCCACUCCUGGCCCUGCCCUGCCUGCAGCAUCAUCAAGAAGCUGCACUUCACUUUGCCGCACCACCCAUUCCCCUUUGCUGUCAUUCCCAAACUUCUCCCACCGCAAGCAGGGAAGGAAAGGCGACGUGGCUGGAGGAAAAGCUGACCCCGGACACAGCAGGGGCUGUGGUACCUGAGUGGUGCACCCAGCAAAUGACCCCACUGCCACUACAUUCCUCUGGAGCGGGCCAGAAAUUACACCACCGCUGGUUUUCCUCUGGCGCUCCGAAACUGAGAAAAAAAAAAAAAAAGAAGCAGAGCAGAAGGAAAAAGCAGGGAACAUCAUCGCAUGUUUGUUUGUCAUAAAUUAUGCUUGGGAGAGCAUCAAGUACAGCAAGCCGUCACUGAUCAGAGCUGGUUUUGAGCUUCAUGAUGAGGGUUAGCUGGAUACCUCCUCUCCACCCCCAUCCUGACUUCAUCAAAACAGUCUCUUUGUGUUGCUCUGGUUAUCUCUUGGAAGGGGAAAUGUCUUCCUUUCUGUGCACAGGACAAUAUAGUCCUUUAAGGCCUAAAAGGGAAGUCUCUACCCAAAACAAAUGUGCUUCUGGUGAGAAAGCCUGAGGUGCCGAAUGCUCAGACGAAGCAGGUGAGCCCACGCGUGUGUGCCUAUCUCCUCGGCCCUGCCUCAGAGAGAAAACAUGGUGGCGACUCCUGUGCCACGCUGGGAUGUGCAAACGCAAACCUGUGUGCUGUGGGGCACGGCAGCUCCUGGCUGUUGUGAUUUUGUCUGGGAGAGGGCAGGACCCUGACAAAGUCCCCAGUGGUUUCUUCAGUGGAAAUUCAGCUGGUCUCCUGAUGGCGAGUGCCCUGCCACGUGAGGCUGGGCCAUGGUGCUGGAAGUGAGGGGAAUGGCUGGUUGGAUUUACCAGCAGCUCUAGGGAAAGUGCCACCCAACCAGGCCUGGGGUGGAAACACACUGCCUUUUGCAGAUGGCGAGGUGGCAAGCCUUUACGAAGAAGCGUUGGUGCCUGCAAGUGAAAUAACUCCUGCAAGGCUUGAAAGCAGCAUCCCCCAGGCCUGUGGAGGAGCACAGCUAUCGAGUGCGGCACAAGAAGCUGAAAAGCAGGGGCCUUGUCAAGCCAGCUCAAGAAUUGUUUCAGCCUGGCAAAGGAGAGAGCAAUAUGCAGGAGAUUAUCCAGACACAGUUCACAAGAAGCCGAUUACAAUGAGUAUUUCAGAGAAGUGAAGGCACUUCCAAAAACCUAUGCCCCAUCAGCUGUGUCAGGACCUGAGGUAGCUGAGGAGGCCCUGCCGCCAGAAGGCACGGCACGCAGACACAACAGCGACGCUUUUUGGGCCGCAAGUGUGAGCAGCCCCCAACCCUCAUGCCACAGGCCGCUGCUGAAGGGCCGGCUUCGUGCCACCACGUCCUGCCACAUGGCCACGGCCUCGAGAAACAGACACCCUGCCUGCAGGGAGCCCGAGGAACUGCACUCCAUUUCGUGUCAGUGCCGAUAGGAAAUCGCAGGGGGCUGCCAGCAGAACAAGAAUAUCUCCCUCACCCAGGGUAUGCUGAGGCGUGCAGACUAAAAUUGCAGGCACAACCCUAUUUUCACUGCACCUUACUACCCUGGAAACACUCAGAGCAGCCGCUUUGAAGGGGCUAAUCCACCCACUGCAGUAUUUCUGGUAAUGACUCACAAAAUCCCACACAAUUCUGAUACCAUUUUCUUGAUAAAACCAGCUGCCGGAGUGAAACUAUACAUUUGGUUCUGAAAAAAAAAAAAAAAGAGAGAGAGAAAAAAUAAAUAAAUAAAUAAAUAAAUAAAAGGCAAAACCCUACUAGGUCUUGCUAGUGAAUAGGAGGCCAACAAGCAUCAGGAGGUACCAGCACAAGCCGAAGGCUGCACAGACCCUCUGCAGACAGGGGCUGAACGCUGGACUCUGCGUCCUGCCACCAAUAAUUUGUCCUGUUGUACGUUGCAACUCACACAGAUGUUCGCAUAAUGUCUUGCAUAUGAGCAGCAAAAGGAGCAUUCAUUUCAAGAAUGACGUGAUUGUCUGUGUGGUAAGGAUAAUAAGGGAAAACUUUCAACAUGCGUCCAGUGAUACAGCGAAACGAGAAGCCAAACUGUUCCCAGUUGUACUCAGACAGCUUCUCAUGAAGUCAGUGACAAAAUUCAGACAAGAUUUAAUAGCGGUCUUUCUUUGUCUCAUUUAAAAACCUGAAUUAAAUUCUACUCAAGCAUCUUACGAUGAGAUUCAGGAGCACAAAACAUACCAGAGCAUCACAGUGCUCACUCACCACCACCGAACAUUAACUGAACUUGCUCCGAAAAAAAUGUUUGACUAUUUAUAGAGAAGCCAAGGGAAAGAAAAAAAAAAAAAGAUGCUUGCUGAGGUUUUUUUUUUUUUUUUUUUUUGGCAGGCUUCUCUUGAAAGCAGCCAAACUCCCUCUGCUUCUGUAAGGCAAAGGAACAGAGCACUGGGUGUGCUGAGGUCACAGGAAGAGAGCACUUAAGCUUGUGCUUAAAUUCGGGACAGCAUUGUACCAGGUGUUUGGUCCUACAGCUACCAAAUUCCUGCCUAAGUACUGCCUUAGAAGAAAUUCUGUUUAAAUACUGCCUUAAGGAGGGAUGCAUUGCUGAGGCUGUUCUUGAGCGGUCCUUGUAGGACUCCAACCCAAAGCCCACUGUGGAUUAGUGCCUGACAUUUUGCUCAUUCUGAGGGAUGCAGGACCAAGGCAUGGGACAGAACACCCAGCACUUUGUUCAAGUGCUCUGCACCCCAUAGGAUGGAGCGGUCCUGCAGUGCCGGCAGGCUUUCUGCAUGAGGGCUUGGGAAGAGAUGCUGGAGCAAAUUCACCCUUGUGACAAGGAAAGCACGUACUGAAAUUUGCAUUUGGACCACUUUCGCAGUAGAAAAGAAAACAAAUUUGGGUUGAAAUAGCUGGCUUGCAGGAACAUGUAGCAUGUGAAUGCCAAUACCAGUAACCUCUAACUCAAUGAUCUAUCUUUAUUUGAUGAUUUCAACUUAAAAUGCUGAAUGAAUUCCUGAAAAGAAACAAAACGUACAUGAGAAAAACACAGGUAAAGUAAUUUCAGAGGUUCCAGCUACACUUAAAAAGCAUACGUGUCUCUCAAAAAUAACACAGAUUGUAAAGGGCUCCGAGAGCGAGUUCCCACGUCAUCUUCCCUAUAAUAGCAUUACUAUCACCAGACACUCGAGUAUGCUUCCACCUUCCCUCUCAGCUGGGCAAAAGAACAAGUUUGAAGAGCUGCCACUGGUUCAAUGAACUCGAAGACUGCGAAACUGCACUGUCAGCUGGUUGUAACGUGUCACCUCCAGUCUGUUGCUCAACUGAUCUGAGCACCCAGAGCACAAGAACUCUGUGCUGUCUCCUUGUCCUGAUGUUUUCUAAACCAAAGAGUAAAAGUCAACGCAAGACGGCAGAAGGCAGUCACUUUGGAAAGUUGAGCAGCAUCACGAAGCAAAACUGCUAACCUUAUUUUGGCAAGGUGAAAGAUUUGUAUAACACUUUUCCCUCCUACUAAAUGUAUUUACUCUAAAAAAUCGAUUUCCUCUGUCGCUAUUUAUUGCUGCACGUUGCUCAGUGGUUCUGAGAAACUGCAUGGAAAAUCGCAGUGUUACACUUGUUAAAUUGACCCUACAGGGCCAUACCACCAGUACGUGCACCAUCCCAAGAGGCAAGUCUGCCAAAGUCAUGCUGUGCAUAUCAUCACUAAACCCAAGAGAAAAUGCAAAUUUGGCUGUAUCAUAGCUUAUUUGCAUAGCUUUCCAUUGGUUUUGUACAACCUUUUCACAAAAUGCCAAUUUACUUCCUUUUCCUAUAGCUUAUUGCCAGUGUGAGAUAUUUACAGCUUUUAUACAAGGCAGAUUGAGCAGUUAAAACAGUAGAAGACAUAAUUAAAUGCAUUUUGGAAAUAAAACAUAGCCUUUGAGAUGAUGACACAAGGCACAGGACUUUGGGACACAGAAAUAUCAAGGCCCUUUGCAAAGGUGCAGAACCCUCUCUCUCACACACUCACUUGACAGCCGCACAGCUUUUUCUAUUUUUUAUCUGAUCUGCAAAAGCAGAAAUAUUUGCUUGCAAACUAUGAAGGGCCUGAAUCCAGUUACUGAGUACACAUUUCACUCACAUUGAUAUCAGAAUGGAUGGCUGCCAGUUCAGUGUCUUGGCUGGCGUUCAAGCACGCUGAUUGCUGAGCCUCCUUGGAUUCUGAGCUCACGAUUUCAAAAAAAAAAAAAAAAAGAAAAAAGAAAAAAAAUCCCUGAACACAAAAAAACCCUCCACAAACAUUUCUGAGAUGCUACUAAUUUCCCCCCUCUCCUCCAUUGUAAGUUCAUUCUCUGGAAAUGAACAUGUACAAGCAGUGUCCUCUGUCAAGGCAAGCAGCUAGGGAAUUUGGGCUUUUUCUACAGGGCUACGAUACAAUAAACGGAAGGUUUCUCCUGGCCAAGCAAUUUCCACACGUGUAACAGGACCAGCCUUCAUUCAAGUCAGCAACGGUGGCAAAGACCUGUUUAUACUUUUAUAUCUUAACUUGAAAUUAAAAAAAAAUGAAAAAGAAGAAAUAAAUGCUUGAAAUGUUCUGAGACUUCUGUCAACGCCGGGUGAGGGAGCACAGAGAGACCGUUUGCCUUACACAAACCCUCUUUUCCUUCCUUUUUCCUCACUACUAACGACCAAGCGUCAGCAGAUUCAAAGGCAAGCCAAGAGCCCCUUGAAGCCCCCCUGCUCCCAAACGCCUGCUCUUGGAGCGCGCUGCAAAGCGCUGGCACAGCGUGUAACCCCUGCUCUCCGGCGUGGCAGCAGAUGCUGUGGAUCAGGCCGCUCAGACGCUGCAGUUGAGCCUGACAGGUGUUUGUUAACAGCCUCUAUGAUGCAUUUGGGAAGGGCAGCCCAGGAGCGUAACGUGUUUUACUGUGACAGUUUAAUAAGCCGAGCGCAGGCAGUGCAGCGCCUUAUUUUCUACGACUCCGAAUGGAAGUCGCUAAGAUCUGGACUGCACGGUGGCGAUACACAUGCAGCCCAAACCAUGGCGGGGGGCGGCACACACUCACACAGCACCUCCAAAACUGGUGGGCGGCUGGACCUGCUCCUGCCGGGUCCGUCCGGGAACCUCUCUGCUCUUGGCAGGCUCCGUGCUCCGGGUAUUGCCACCGCCCGGUGAAAUCAGGUACACCUAGUCAACGGUAAUUGCCUAGGCUAAUUAUUAGAAAAUUCAAUUUAUGCUAAUCUGCCUGAGGGGAGGGGAGCAUAAAAUUAACUUGACACAUUUAUUUAACUUUUUACAGUGUUAUUAUUGUUACUUAAAAUUUAUGACAGCAUUGUGCCCAGAGGCCUCAGCCAGGAUAAGGAUCCCAGUGUGCUCGGGAUCCCACCGUGCACGCACGACUGUCCUCCCAGCCGAAUUUCGAGGCAAAAGCCCUGUCCCUGCAAACUUUCGGGGAAGCGCUCCCCAGAGACUGGGAGCAAGGCCACAGAAAUUAAAAGCCCAUUAGUCUUACCGAAGUGAAGCAGGGGCAUUCAGCCACCGCAUCCUAACACACUGGCAGCUCACACCAAAAAAUCUCUUAUUUGGGAAGAAAGUGACACUUCAGUCACUUCUGGAUUUAUCAUUAAAUACAGAGACAUAAACAACCCCUCCUAUCUAAUGUUGCCUUUUCUUGCUCCUAUUUUACAAACAGGACCGUCAUCAUCCAGUAAAUGCAAAAACAUGCAGGGAGAGAUCCUGGCUCCAGGAAAGAGAGACCUGUGUCACUAACUAAAUUGGUGAAUUGUCAGAAUCUCACCUUUUAGUUUAUACGCACGAUGUGUAACGAUUCAGUUUUUCCUUGUAGUGAACUUUAAAGGAUAUUUGCCUGAGCAAAGCAGCUGACAGUUCCACCUGCCUUCAUUUCUGGACAUACAAAUGCCAACCAUAAAAGGUCAGCAUUUGGGCGAACAUAACCACUCACCACCCUUGGAUAAGUUGGUGUUUUUACCUAUAUCCAUGUACACUUUUUCAGACAUAACCUAAUUAAACAAUUGCAUUGGUCAGAUGAUAUUAUCAAUAUUAUAUCAAUCAAUAUGCUAGAUUCAAGUAUUUCAAAAUAUUUAAUCAGAAGUAGGGAAAACAGGAGCUUUUAUGAGUUAGGGCCUUAAAAUUAAACUCUCCCUAGUACGGCUGUGCUGACAUGAGACAUGCGAAAGAGUGAAGAAGAAAGUGCUGAGAAAAGGAAUGAUCCUCUGGGAGUCACUGGAAGACUGUCAGAAUUAGGAGAAUAUUAGAAGUAAAAGACCAUCUCUCCCCCUGGCUCUUCACUGAUGUUUUAGGAAAGAACAAUCCAUCCGUAUGCUCUUGGUGUUUGCUGAGGCUAGAGGGCAACACCCAAACGUCAGCAUGGUCUAACUUUCGAGAAGCUUGAGAGGCUCCUCAGUUCUGGGCAGGUGAGGUGUUAGCAACACAUCCCACACCCUUUUCUUCCCCCACCACAAGAAGAGAUGAGAUUAGCCCAUACAAGUACAGAAAAAAUGGAAACACCAGAAAAAUACUCACUUGAGUGGGCUGUGCUAACAAUCUCAUGUCAGCAGAGCAGUUCAGGAGGGGUGAAGGCAAACUCACAUUUAAGGCUGCUCCUCCACAGCUGACUUGCCUCUCUGUGCCCAAACACCACAAAGAUCUUGGAACAGAUUUAAACCCCAAACUCACACAGUGCUACAGCAGGUGGAAUAAUAACUUCUCCAGAACUGCAGGGUUUUAUUUGAAAAUUCAAGUUGGGGUAAUGUCUUCUGCUAUCCUUCCAUGUUCCUCUGCUGCUCUUUGUGCUGCAGUUCAGUGGAGCUGCUUCAAGGUCCUGUUAAGUAUGUCAAGCCUUUUACAUGCAAGUGCAUCUUUGCAGCACAAAUGAAACAGAUGAAAGAAAAAGAAACCAUCUUUUAGCCACACACAAGUUCUGUGUAUUUUGCAUAUGGCUCCUAACACACACUGGCAGCCCACACCAAAAAGGCUCCUGUUUUGGAAGAAAGUGACAUUUGAGUCACUUUUGUUUUUAUCAUUAGAUAUGAAGACAUCAAACAUCACCUCCUGUCUCAUGCCUUCUUUUCUUGCUUCUACCUUAUGAACAGGGCACAUGUUUCUGUGGUCCUUUAGAGCACUAUUUGUUUGACUCAGCACCGUGACAUUUUUUGGUGCCUUCAUAUCAUCCUGUAACUGCUGGAGCGUGUAAGAUGCCACCCGAGGCUCCGCUGCGCUGCCAUCCUCGCAGGAUGUAGUACUGCUCCUGUCUUGAACUCAGGACAAGAGCACGAGGAACAGGCCCACGGCACAACGCUUCUGCUGCCAGCAGAAAAGGCUGGCUUUGCUUGCUGUUACCCACCCCCCUUCCACCCCACCACCUUCUGGUGAAGAAGAGGCCCCUCAGUUACCUGGCUUUUGCCCUUUGGGCCAUGCUUUACUCAUGCUAGUCCCAUGAGUGAGCUACCCUUGGUUAGAUUAUGCAGUCAGAUGAACUCAGAAGGGGGAAUUCGGUCCUCUAAACCUUUCAGUCCCUUUGAACAGUUGGCUCCAUCCUUUUUAAUUCCCCCAAGAGCAACAACAUCAAUUCUUUGACAACAAGCCUUUAUCAGGCUUUAAAAAAAAUAAAAAUCAAACUAACCUGCUUACUUCGAAGUCAUACUCUCACAAUUUUAGCUGGCACAUCAUGAACAAAAUGGUCUAGAACUAACCUCAAACAGUCAUCUGGAGAAAAACAACAUAUUUUCCCAUGUCAUCACCACUAUAGCACAUACUAACCACAACUAUUCAGCCUGUCAAUUUUCAGUUUAUAUUAUGAUAACUUUACCUAAAAGCCUUUCGUGGUUCAAAAACAGCAAGUGCAAUGCCAAGGAAACAUUUGCUGAACUGACGAUGAUGGCAGCGCUGGUGUCAGGAAUAAGCUUUCUGUAGAGCAGGAAGCAAAGUAAAAACAGAUUUCACUGGGGACAAAGGACUUAUCAGAAAUUCCCUAAAACACUACUUCAGGCUGCUUUAAUCCCAAGUAAUCGCAAUAGAUUGGGAAGAAGGAAUCUUAAUUUGGUCCUUGGGUUGUGAAUCUUCCACAAAAAUCUACAAGAACUGUGAUGAAGAGGAAAAGGAACACAUUAAUCUUUUUGAAUUGCAUUUGCAUCUCUAUUUCCAUACACAGGAAGGUUUUUCAUGUCCACUGAGCAUCUAAGAGAGGGAAAAAAACAGAGCUUCGUGUGGGUCUGGUCAGGAAACUAUCUGACAGGCUCAAAAGCAAUGCAUUUUUAAAAGGUCUUUAACAAAUACACUUCUAGCCAUGUAAUCCCCAUGAUUCACAAGGAACCAAGCAUUAUAUAGUCUUCAGUUACUUUUCCCAUUUUAAGGAGGACAAAGGCAAACCUCUCAUUAACGGAGCACUGUGGCUCAAACUCUAUGCUUAAAACCCCAGACUUCGACAAUCAUACACCCACACUCAGGCUUGAGAAAUAUUCUCAUGCUACUCUGCUGCUUUGUGUCAUCACCCCAGGAGCAAACAAGAAAUCACUGCACCACUACCUAGUGAUCUGGGGCAAGAAGACGAUGGUUGUGACUGCAAAAAAAUGAGGUGGAUGCUUAGGUAGGAACAGCAAACCAAGCAGAAAAAAAAAAAAAAAAACACAAAAAAAAACCAAACCCAUGCUUCGACAAACCUAUGAAAACACUCUGCAACCUACAGUACUAGUCUGUAUCGAUUUGCCCAAGGUCGGGUCACAGUGGUACCAUGCAGGUUUCCACAUAAGUUCAUUGGUAGCUUUCCUUUUGUGGGCUGCAAGAGCAAUCGGAACCACCCUGCUCUGACUGCAUCUUCCCUGGGCCUUCUCCUCCGAAGGGCAUACUAGAAGCUUCCAGCAGAGAAGUAAGAUUUCAAAUCUGAUACUAUACCUUCUUAAAUCUCUUCCUGAGAACGCCAGAGACUUUCUAAGGGGCAGCUUAGACACACCAGGGCAGUUUUACUCCUGUGGACAAAGGGGAAUCCAUGUCCCCUUCUUGGUUUUGGUGGGAAACACACUGAAGGCAACUCACUCUCCCCGAGGACAGCUGAUUUCAACACUGGCUGGACUCUAAAGGGCUGCUCUGAAGCCAGGCGUUGCUCCCCCUCCCCACUUUUUAUGAAUUAGGAAGGUUGUGUGUUCCUACACACGUUCUCUCUGGGCAGAUCUUCAGCCUGGAAGGAUGGAGGAGAUAGCAUGAAAGAGGCAAGGAUGGAGAAAACUGGGCAGAAGCCCUGCAGCUGAGCCUGUGUUUAUUUCAGAAGAGAUGACUGGUUAUCCUACUGCAGCUCCCCACACCCCAGACUUACAAAGUCUGAGACACAAGUUUGAGCAGAUCUUCUAUGAUCUCACGGUGAGUGUGUGAUCGACCGCAUCCAGCGCUCCCAGAACACACAGCUGUGCUGCUCCACUGCUCUGACAGCGAUUUAUGUCAGUGAACGAACUGCUGCAAAUGCGCACUGAGCUCCCACUCCAGAUGCCAAAGCAUGCUCUGCACAAAGCCCGGACUGUGUGGUGCCCGGGAACAGCUUGCUAUUAGCUGGAUUUUUCCCCCAUCUCAUGGAAGUUUUAAGGGAGCCACUAAGAGAAAAGCAGGAGCACUGUACGUUGUGUCCAACUGCUCAGUAAACUAACCUCAAUUUUUUUAAGUAAGUAUUGCAACUCAGCAGUUCUACUAUGGGAUCCCAGAAAGCAUGAGACAUUCUUAAUUUAGCACGAACAACUGCAUACUAUGUCAACUACUGAAAAUCUCCGUGUACAGCAGAAAAUGUUUUGAGUCAACAGACUGAAAAGCAAGGCUGCUUGGAUUUUUUUUUUUUCAUUUUACAACAUGUUUGACAUUCUCAAGAAGAGAUUUAAGGAGAUGUAGUAUCAGAUUUGAAAUCUUACUUCUCUGCUUGAAGCUUCCAUUACUUUCAGACUGUGUAGUAUGCUUUGGUUUGAUUUUUUUUUCAAUAUGAAAAACAUGCUUUACAGCUGAGGCUUCAUCAGUUUCACAGUACUUAAACGUAUGUCUAACUUUAAAUCAGCGAAGCCUGCUGAAAUCAGAAAGGGGGUGCUAAAAAGGAAAAUAUGUCCUGAAGUGUUGUCCUGAAUAGGAAUGAGCCUUAAAAAUGUGAUUAGGUGUCUCUAAAAUAGGUCUUCUGUGUCUAAUAACAAGCAGACAUCACAACAUAACCUUGUGUAUCAAAGGGUAAGAAAAGCUUUUGUGUCUUGGAGAGAAUGACUGAGCAGAGAAAAACUGGAAGCCUCUGGGCAUAAGAUUUGAUUGUUUUAUUAGAAAGAACAUUAACACAUAGAGGCCAAGGAUAAAGACGAAGCUCAAAAGGAAUGAGUCAGGGAAGCUGUUCCAGAUGGCAGAGCCAUGUGCGAUGUGACUCCACCAUCUACUGUGGAAAUAAAAAAGGAAGAAAUGAAAACUUAGUGUUGAGAGAGCAUAUUGGGCUGAAAGGAAAAUGAGAAAGCAAGCUGAGUAGUAGAAGGAAAUGAAAGGCAGAGUGAUGAAAUGAGGCCUUCAGAAAUUUUCAAGUGGAGCAACACAACUUCAAUCAGCCAGCACAAAAAGGUUCAUUUGCUUUGCUUUAGACAACCAUAAGCAGCUCCAAGUUUUGAUGCUUGUCCACAGCAUAUUCACUCUCCUCUGGACAAGACAUGGGCUUCGACAUACCACUUGGACAGCUUCUCAGGAGACUUCCAGUGUAGAUGACCUGCAGUACCCCAUCAGUGCUGUUGCUAUGUCCCAACAACUUGAGUAGGAUGGAAUUAUGACAGAUGGUGUCUUGGGCAGUGUAAGACUAACGGGAAAUUUUAAAAAGUGGAAAUUAGGCUGAGGAUGAUAUAGAAGUUAUUAACAACUAUGUAAGGGAAGUAAAGGAAGCUAUGAGGUGUGGAUGCUUGAGACUUAAUAGGGCAAAACGCUUAAAAAGGCACUGCAGGAAACUGUCCUGUUUUGUCAGGAAAAUGGACAGCAUGAUCUACAUCAGCAAGUCUUCUGCACCUCUUAUUUCAAUGCAAACAGGAGGUACGUGAAUAUAAAACAAAAACACACACAGGCAUUACAGGAACUCUUUGGUUUGGAGAGUCUUUUCAUUACCAUCUAUGUAUUUAAAAGGCUAGCCAAAAUGGACCUUGACCGAGACUACAAACCUAAUGCCAUAAUAGUAAUAAGUUUGAUAUGAGAGAUUCUUAUUAAAAUUGCAAAGAAGUACACAUCACGCAUACAAAUAAUUUCUAGAAAAUAAUUUCAGAGACACAUCUGCUCUUGCCUUUUGGUAUCAAAUGCUUGACCUAAGGUCUACAAAUUCAAUAAAAAGACUCAAGAGAUUUCAAAGCUGACUACAGGGUAAAGAAUUUUCUAUGAUUGGUGUUUUUAAGUCAUGUUCCUUUACAGUCAUGACUCCUCCUCUCUGGAAGAACUUCAAACUGACCUAUACUAACACAUUUGAAAACAACUGACCUGAAGGUAAUUCAGGAGUCUUGGUCUUCGUACAAUUACUUCCACAGAAACCACAGAGCCUGUGGUCAGCUGGCUAUUUGUUUACUUGUCCCUUGCUCCCAGUGAAAGGAUGCUUACUCUAAUACUCCCCCCCCCUUUUUUUUUUUUUAAUAAAUUCAGUUCGCACAUCAGUUCUCUCCUGCAAAGUUUAAAAUCACUCUUCCAAGACACAAGAUGAAUCCGAUCACUUUAAACUAUGUUGGCUUUCUCUGGGCACAUAAGUGAGACAUCUAACUGUUUCAGCCAUGUACGUCAGCAAGCUAGACACAAAGUAGUGCGAAAAACCAGGCUGCAACUCUUGCAUAUCUUUCAUGCUUGUUCUUUCAGCCUUGAGGAUGUUUUCUUGGUUAGUCAACUUUAAAACCACCUAUUGUAUAUACAGCACUAUUUAAAAACAGCACUCAAGUGUACAAGAUAAACAUGUGCUCCUACUGAGUUACUAAACAUGAGAUAAUAAAUUUGCAUCCCUGUAAUUACUACUGCUACCGUGUAGCUGCCUUCAAUGUACAGAGCAAUACAAAACAGGAGACCCCUGCCAAGGAGGCAAGAGGCCCUGUGCAGAAAAAGGCCAGCGCUCUGGAAACACAAACAGAGCUGUGCAAGAAAGAAACUCAGCAGUCACCGAAAACGGUUUCUGCCAGACGUUAAUUUGUGUAUCCAGGGUAAGGAGGGAAGUUUCUUCAUAUGAGUGGGAAGGCUCUCCCACUCGGAAUACACGGGGAGAAGCCCCAAAGUUGCAGGGAAAGGAAAAGGCUCUAAAUUCGCAUUUACUGCACAAGUAAAACGUGAGUAGCAUGGAGGGGAAGGGAAGAGCCGGAGAGCUUUGCCAAAGCUGCCAGGAAGGAUGCAAAGCUCCUUGCAGAUGCUCUGUGCAAAAAGAGAGUGAAAACAUUCGAGAGGAUGAGGGAGGCAUGUUCAGGGCAGCCAGGAACAAAGCCACCACCAGCAUUUCCAAUAGCAAAUUGAGUUGGAGCCUUUCUAGUAACACAGGCUGUGCAACUGGAAAGCAAAAAGUGCACUUGUUUCCUACAGAUUUGUGGUCCAUGCCCCUGCACCCCUCCACGCUCACCCCUCUCUGCUCUGUCUUCCCUCUGGCAGCCUCCAGCAGCUUUGAGACUUCUACUCCCUGCUGGAUUUGGUGGGAACCAGCCAAAAGACUGUGUUAGGGAGGGAAUGGGGACAGACAGACAUCAUCACCAGCACACACACCUCAGUUCCUUGGAAUCCUGGCUAAAAACACCCCGGCUCUGAAGCAGAAAUACUCACGAAAAGAUUUCAUAACACCUUACCAAGGAGCGAUAUCAGUAUCAUUAUCUCCGCUUUAUGGCUGAAGCACUGACUGGUCAUGACAUGCCUCAAGUCACCCAUCAGAUAGCUUUUACUUCUGGCUCUGCCAACUGUUUCCCUAUUCCAAGCUGGUGCCCCACAGUGGAGCCAUCCCAAACCACAGGCUGCAAGAGAAGAGAGCUGCAGGAGUCAAUAUGUGAGUAUCUAAAUGCUCUUUGCAGAAAGGAAGGGAAGGAAAUAAUGUUAAAGGUAUGAUAGAAACCGAGAAACCAAGAAAUGUAUUCUAAAAGGCAAUACCUGCCUCCAGCACGUUCAACGCACUAGGUGUUGUAGAUGCAUUUCAUGAAAAGGCAAUAUAGGACAAGACUAACUUCAAUUACCACAGACCACAGAAGUGAUUGCUUAAAGUAAGAAACAAGCCAGAACCAAAACAGAAACCCCAGAAAUCUGAGCGAGGGAGAUGGUGGGAUCUGAACGCUAGCUUUCUGAUUUGGCGUCUACCAUACCUGUAUCAUGAUCCAAGCUGAACGGUUUGAUCCAAACACCAUCAGACCUUAGCCUGAAUUAAAUUUUAGCUUUACACACUCUUCUCAAAAACCUGGAGAACCCACCCUAAGAGACCCACCAUGUUUCUAUUGCGCUUCAAAUCUAGCCAUGCUUAGCACUAUUUGACCAAAUCUUACCAAGGCAAAUUUUUUACUCCUUUUCUUUAUUCCUAUUGGGUGUGAAAAGGAUAAAGUAUUCAGUCAGGAAUCAUUUAAAUGAUCCCUUACCUAAGAAAACAGUGAUCAGUGGAAAGCAAUUUCCCUUGUCUUAUCCCUUAGGUUUCAAAUUUUUCAUAUCAGAAUAGUUUCUUACCAAGGGAAGAAUGUUUCUAUCUUUAUUAAGUUGAACCUAAAGAAAAAUAGAAAGAAGACAGGAAUUAUUGAAUUCACUUUUUAAUAUCAUAAAUUCUAUGAAAAAGCAGCAUGAAUUGCCAUUUUAUUUCCCUGUAAUUAAGAAUUGCAUACUCCUCCCUUGUACCUCUUCCCUUCUGUUUUCAGGUAAAGAUAAAGGGUAUAAUUUCUCCUAUGCUCCACCAUAAAAGAGAAGGCAGGUAAUGAGGCCUUCAUCUAACGCGGUGAGACUUGACCACUGCCAUCAGCCUCCUACCUGCUCCCAAAGAGUUUGACAUCAGGGCGGUAGAAAUGUCUCAGCCUGGGUAACACAUGCUCUCCCACACUGUUUUGAAACUGAUGGUCCACACAGAUAAUUACAUCUGUAUUGACAAACACUGUCUGAGAUCAAAGUCAUUGCAGCGCUUGGUUUGAGCUGUUGCAUUGCUACCACUGUAAGUUAUUGUACUCACGCAACAUCUAAAAAGAAAAACACACCAUAUGGUGAUGCCAUGACAUGGCGUUGCCAUCAUUUUGUGACUUCCCUCAUCAAGGUAUCAAAUUGUCCUUCCUGGUACUCCUUUGAACUACUAUAAAAUAAUCAAGUGAAAGCAUGUUAUCAGAGAGGAAGGCCUUUCAAGAGCACGGUGGUUUGAUACAUGAAGAUGCUCCCUCAAGUGAGUGCUCCUCUCACUUUGUUGCAAGCAUGAUCACACAGUGGGCUCAGGUAGGCUGGAUGAAAGCCACCUGUAGCAUCUUCAAGGGUCAAAUACUGUUCAGAUAAGGCACUAGUCUGAUUAAGAUCUACGAGAAAGCCUCCUACAGUCUCCGUUCCAGUAGGACAGUUUACAGACAAACAAUCAUCAUCCACAGCUCCUCGUCCCCCACACCAGAUUUGCCAAAGCAAAAACAGAAAGACAAAAAAAACACAGAAGCAAGGAGAGAUGCUUUAACCACGACCAAUCUUUUCUAUACCCAAGCACUUGGGUUUUCCAAUAAGAUACAGGCACUGUGACUGAACUCAUGAGAGUGCAAUUUCAGUUUCAGCUACACUGAUACCAGCUUUGCACAGCUACAAUCAGAUAGCUUUGUUUGCAACAUUUUGAAGUCCUGAAGGAACGUUUAAAGAGAAAUACCUUCACUGAGCCUUAAAUGUUUCACGCCAUAAGCCUUAAAAUAACAACCAUAAUUUAAUUAAGGAGCAUCUACCCUGCUUACAUUCACUUUCCUGAAGGAAUAAUAGCCACUGCUUUACACGUUACCUUUAGCACUGGCCUCAUCAGACAACAGGCUUUGUGUUGGUAUGGUGGUUUCCCUCUCUGACCACGGAUAAACACCGCUCUCUGUUGCUUCAAGGCUCCAGUCCAGACAUGCCAGGCAGCUUUAUGAGCAUGCACAGGUCAACAAGCAGGCUCAGGGCUCAAGUUUGUAACCAAAAAAUCAGCUAUUGUAUGUCCCACCGGGGCCAGGGGUUGCAAACAAACGCUGGGAUUCUUCCUCUUCCACCAGCAGCCCGGUGAACUUUCAUCUGCAACUCUCCGCUUCCAAUCCCAAUGCAGCUGUUAAAGCUAACAAAGCUCUUCCCGCUCCUUUCAGACCAUCCUUGAGCACUUAGUGGGCGCACCUGGGAGCGAUGGGAGAUCUGGGAGUGAACUGGAAGCUGCCAGUCCCAACCUGACCGCAGAGCAACGCUAAACCUGCAGUUCUGACCGAGUGUUCCUGUUAAGGUGCUCCGUCCAGGCUGCUGUUAGGCAGCUCGAGUGGAACGAGUAACAGAUAUUCAACAUGUAAAAUCUGUGAAAUAUUUGCAUUACAGUGAAAAAUUAUCCACGUAUUAUUAUUUUGGUGCGUGGUUUAUACUAAGGAGGCUUCCUCUAGAGACCGAGCAGUAGAGCUGUCUGAAGCUAGCCCGUCUUAUUCACGCUCUGGGGGUGCAGAGCCAGCAGCCCUCCCCUCGAGAGAACAAAACACGUCCUCCUAGCAUUAGAUGCACCGAGCCAGUGUUUACAUAGGGAGCUGCUAAUAACCAGACCCGGGAAUUCCAGCACAGGAGCUUUGUAUUUAUUACUAUUUUACAUUACUACUGAGCGUGCCAAGUUCGGGCACUUUAAGUUAUGAGGGCUGCUAUCGCACGCUACUUUAUCAGCCUUUCACACAACUGUGUGACUGAAGCAUCUCGAUAAGAAUGUCUAAAAUGUCUGCUAUGUUUUAAAACAGCAAACCCUUCCUUUUCUGUUCUGACCCAGCCAUUUCAGUCAACAAAGCUCCUUCCACUCUUUCAAAACACUUUCUACUCACUUAAUGGCUGUGAUCGUACUGACUGUCUUGGAAACUGCUAGUCCCAAAAAUAAUGCAGCACAGCUAUUUAUUCAUGCUGGUGGCUUGACGUGAUAUUUUGAGGACUACCAUUUCGCAAUAUGGAAUGAAACAUGGACAUCCAUCUUAUGACAAGGGCUCUAACUAUCACACGACAGCCUUCAUACACAGAACAUUAAUGCACUUUUAAGUGAAGAAAAUUGUGAAACUGUGCAACUACAACAAACAACUUGCCAAAACCGGCAUACGUUUUUGCACUUGGUUUUACAUUCUCGGGCUCGCUAAGAUCAAUAUAUACAUAGACACACGUGUGCAUGUGUGUAUACAUAUCCAUUCAGCCCUGCAAUUCUCAGGAAGGUGCUAGUCAGAGGAAGAGCAGUCAGGACUGUAAAUGCCAUUUUUAAUACAAUGAGCAAAACUAGUUUUAUUUCUUGUCAUUCUGCUUGUGUUUGUUUGUUUUUAAGUUUUUUAUUGGUCUGAUUUGGUUUCUUUUAAAAGAGCUCAAAAAUGUUCCAGCAUUAACUUCCAAAACCUGGCUUCUGUAAGGCCACUCCAUGCCUUUAAAACAAAAUUUGACUGCAAACCUACCUAUAUUGUAAUAGCUACCAUUGGAAUUGAACGUUAAAAAACCACAUUGUGAAAGCUACCUAUCCCUGCACUCACUUCAUUCUGCAGGAAUUCCACUUGGGAAGGACAAAGAAGGGAGAGGUGGAGCGGGGAAUGCACAGCUAAUUAGCGAGGUUUCACAAUCUAAUUUAACCUGCCAACCCAUUCUUCUGCCACUCUCGCACAUGUAAAUAGGAUGAAAAGCAGAAGGUCUGAGUUCUUUGCACUGUUAUUCCUCAGUUCCACCAUUUCUGAUUGUCUACCUGGGUACUUCUGUCCCCUCAGCAGCCUUUCGUCUCCCGUGGAGCUCGAGACCACCACCUCCAGAGCCAGGCAAGUUGUUCACUCGCAGCAAGAUGAGCAGGAGCUGAUGACACUUAGCAGCACGUGUUCUUUUGGGAGCACGGAGGCUACAAGCAGCUCAGAAUCUUCCCUAAAGCCAAGUGCAUUCACUGCAGUCCCCAGCGAGUCACCCAAGGCUGAGUGAUCCUUGAGAGCACGUAUAAUGAAGCUCUGGGAUACACCUCAUGGUACCAGACUCAUGGGCUUGUGCUGAGCAGGCUCAGACAUUUUCAGGGAGACGUUGCAGGGCAGGGCUGUGCAGACACACUCCUUUGACUCUCACCAGCAGAAAACCAGUGUCAGGCAGCACCCUGCUCCGUCUAAUUAGCAUAAUCAGGGAAGAUGUAAGGGGAGAAGCGGCACUAAUUAGCCUGAGCAAAGCACCUUGUCAGUUUGGGAAUCUCUGCACAAGGCUCAUGAUGCAUAACUAGAUGUACCCGUUGUGACUGGGCCUUUCGUGCUCCCUGCAGUCAGCAGCUAUUUCACUGUGGCCAAGAACUAGGUGCUGCUGAAGCAGCGUGCCCUGCCAGCUGAGAGCAGCGUGGGGCAAUUCCUCAGUCCUUAAGGCCUUUUUUUUUUUUUUUUGAAGCAAAGAUCUGCAGGAGUCUUGCAGCUCGAUGUGUGAUGCUUCUGCAUUGCACGUGCUUACGUAGGUAACUCGACAGUCUUCCUUGGCAUAGUCUUUUUUGAGAGAGGGGGAUCCUAUUCUGUGUCUCAUGUAUUUUUUUUUAAUUUAAUUCUAUGGCAUUAUAUGUACUUAGAGGGUAGGAACAUGCUGCUACACAAUCCUUUCACUACUUCACUGUGCCUUUCCCAUCGCAAAAUGCUCUCCAGAUGGAAGGAGUUUAUUUGUAAGUAGGAAAGCAUAAGGCUGACUGAAGAAAAGUGAUAAUUACAUUAGAAUAAUAAUAACAACAACAAAACCUGGAGCUAAUGAAGACUGCCUGCUUCAUUUAAUUUAAGAAGAGGCUUCGCCCUGUAAUGAAGACACAUGAAGCUCUGCAGCUCGUUCAACCUUUCUCCAAAUGUCAUCAGGAGCAGUAGGGCUGCUCACUAAGCCAAAUCCCUCCAGUUGAACUGGUUUGACUGGUCAAUGAUAACAAGAAGGAAACGCUUGUACUUUUAUCUCCUCGAUCAGAUCACUCUGCAGGCUAUCCCUUGGGUUGAAUAGAGACAGUUAUACUAACGUGUUAAUGGAUCUAGCAGAAGUAAAAAGCAGCCUGGUGAUUCCCACUGUGGAUCUAACGGGUAUGUCUGAACUCAGCAGUACGUUCGGAGGACCUCUCCCGCCUCAAACAGCAGCGGUACAUGGCACAGACUGAGUGACAAAGGGAUAUCGUUUUGCCUUUUUUUUUUCCUCAUAGAAAGCUGACUUUAACAAAGUCACUUGCAGUGCAUGCUUUUACAAGAAAACAACCAACACUCAUUUCGAAAAAUCCAAAAUAGACCGAAAACACGUGAGCUGUACACCUGAGAAGUGGUAGCUCCUCAGUGCUCUUCCUGUUGCUCUACCCAGUGUCAAACUGCCUUUUACUGCACUGGAGGUCCGUGUUACCUGGAGUCUCUUUUUUUUUUUAAACUAUGAGCAUCAGCAAUGCUGUCAGGCUGCUGAGAAAAGAGGUUUUAUCUGCUGGAGAGACGAGCUCCUGGCAGAUGAAGGCUUAAAGCCCAGUUUGCCCGCUGCCUCCAUUAUGCUGGUCUCUCCUCUGCAAGGAAUCUCCAUAGCUCUGGACAAGCGUCCACUCGUCAGGGGAGCCAAACCCCAUUUUGCUCAGCUUCUUUCAGCUGUCAGAGCUUUUGUAGUGCUUUAGCAGGACUUAGUGCAUUCCAGAAGUUGGAAGUGAGACAAAGAGAAUUUAUAAACCACCACCCCAAGUCUGACUGAAGGUUACCAGCCCCAGAAAGCCACAAACAACCUUCCUCUCCUCAUCUAACACAACCUUCAAUCCCCAAACAGAUUUCUUCUAUCGCUACUGAGUAUGCUAAACUUGAUUUGCCAUAGCGGGGAGUGUUUCUUUAUUAUUUAAGGAGCUGACAGGAAAAUCCACUAGAAAUAAUAAUAAUAAAAAAAAAAGACUACAGGGCCUCAGGUCUCAUUAGCCUGUCCCUAGUUCUGACACCUCAACAGGGAAAGAAGCUCAGAGCAACCCUGGCAACCUGCUUCUUUAUCUUCCUCUUGACCUUUGUGCCAUCAGGUGCCUCUGAAACAUUGAUCAGUGCCUGUGGCUGGAAGCGCCAAUGCUGAUUAACAACCAGAAGCAUAAAGCUCACUGAAAAGGAACACAGAUAGCAUCAACGUUGUCAGUUUCUCUAAGAGUAUCUAAUAUUCCUUCCCAACAUAAGCAUCCAGGGUCAAGGUGCCUGGCAGGCUGCAAACAAACCUGGAAUAAAUAUGAAUGAGCAAGUUGUGCAGGAUGGUGUUCUGCUACGGGGGGGGGCUCGUGAUCCCUUUUAGUUAACCUGCCAGUUUACAGCAGCCUUUCCUUUUGAACAGGCACUCCAAACAGCAAAUGGAAAAAAAAAAAAAAAAAAAACCACAAAACCCUCCCUUCUAGAAGAGCUUAAUUUAUGUUCUCUUCCUGAUGCUGCCACCAACGUUACUAGCACUGAGAGGGCACCAGCAGGCUACUAGAUACCGCUGGGGUCAUUGUGGGCGCAGAAAAACAGCUCACUAACACAGCAGCACAAAAAAAAAAAAAAAAGCAGCAGUGAAGCAGAAGAACAGUAAAAGAAAAAUUCUGGCAGCCACAGGACACCUGUGUUUUGGUCAGCUGCACCCCAGACACCACCUGCAAAUCCCCGAGCAGCUCUCAUGCCAUGCUAUCAUCCCCAUUUGUUCCCAAUACUUCUUGGUUUACGCCGAAGCCUCUUGGACCAAGCAGUGCUGCCAGCAAGGACCUGAAGCCUCUCCAGCCACUCUCACCAAAUUAAAAAUAAGAACAGCCAUAAGCCACGCUGUCGAACUACAAGAGAUGCUUUUUCCUCGCGGAGCACAGCGCAGCCGCCCUGGCUCUGCAAUCAUUAACAGAAGCGUUCACCUGCCUUCCUUCCUCGGCUUCCUUGCUCCAACGCACGAGCACUGCCUGGACUUCCCUAACGGCAAAUCAUGAAACAAAGCUGACAGCGAAAAGCUGGGGCAGCAGUUAAAGAGCCUGCCAAAGAGAAAUCUGUUUGCUCAGGCAAAAGCUGUUCUCAGUCCAAACAUGGGAGUCAUAAUCUUACAGCCAUUUGCUUGGAAGACAAUGAAGGGAAGGCGGAACAGGCUGGGAAACUGCAGCUUGCCACAGUAAGAGAAGAGAACAAUCUUUGUGCCCAGAUUUCUUUGCUCUGCAGGGUAAGUUUUACAGAGCUGACAACGGGUAGCAACAUGUAGUGGCCCCAGGCAUCAUGCCUGCCUAUCAAAGACUUGGAUUUUAGCCCUGGAGAAAUUACAACUUCUCAGUUCUCUCGAAGCUCUAUCGGCCGAGAAGAAAGCAAGAGAGUAAUGAAUGACCUAACCAAUAAUUAUUUUAAUACAUGGAUUGCAUACUGCAAGCGAUAAAUGCAGAGGUGCCUGGGGUGCGGGGAGAGCUGAGGGAAGAAGGGCAGGGGGAGGACACCUCGUGUUUGACAGGAACGGGAUACCCACAGGUUACAAAAGGCAACCAACGGGGCUGCGGCAACAGCACAGUACUGGAGCGGUAGGGGCUGGCACUCCAGAGCUAAGUAUGGAUCCAGCAGAUAAGCGACGGAGACAAAGGAAGGGGAAGUUCAGCGAUCCAGGUCGAAAAAGGCAGCCCAGGAGGAGCCAGCAGGAGUGCCGGGAAGAAAGAAGCAAUCUGGAGAAGCUGUAUGGACGUGAACAAAAAGGCAUUUGACCUUAAACAUCAGGUGCAGGGGUGCCCACACGCUGCCCCCAGGGGAGAUGUCCCACCAGAGGCAGCUCAGUCGCUGUGCCAGCAGGACGGGCUCACACCAUGCAUGCUCAGAGUAGUGGCUUUGCAGACGGCGAGCCAACCUGGCGUGCAGCAACACCUCCCACGGCCCAUUUUGCUUCUGCCCAGGCACAGGAGCUCUGCUGCGUUUCUGCAACAUCCAUUUUCACCCACUAUUCAUCAGUUACAAUAAGCUGCCAAACCUAAGGCCUCGAGGUAUGGUUGGAGUUGUUUUCUUUUUUUUUUUUCUUUUUUUCAGCACUGCAAGAGACUCGAACUAUUUCAACUUCCUCUCCCAAAUGUCAGCCUUGAGCCAUUCUGGUCCGUCCGUCGGAAGCAUGUGAUGUGAAAUAAAAGCCAGGAAAUAAGACUUUCUGAAUAAACAUGUAUUUGGUGAGAAAUACUUCUGAUUUUUGGCAGAGAAAUGUCAGAAACCUGAGGCCUUAUGUAUAGCAUGCCUACAGAGUGCAAUUUCUAUUUAAAGGGAAGCUGCAGCUGUCUGUAGCUCUUAAUGAAGAAUAAUGCCUGGGAAUAAAUUACUGCUGUUUCUGAGAGACAUUUCUCAAAUGACAGUGAUUCUUCCUCUUUUCCCUCUCCUAUAAAUACUAAGUGGCACGUAUUGGGCAGUUGUUUGGGAGAACGGAUGCACGCGGCUCGCUCUUUUGACGGCAGCCUGGUCGUUUCCAUAGAAAACCGUGCAGCAGUCUAGCACAUGGAUGCAGAAGCAACCCAAAAGCCAACACAUUCAGAAACAGUGAGGCUGCAAGCGUCAAAACUUCCCAUCGCUUUCCGAAGGUGCGUGCGGCCCAUCACGGUGCGAGCAGACACCGCAUAUCACUUCCAACCGCGGCACAACCCUGGCGUCGAGGCUCAGGAUGCGGGAGAUGGCCGCUCGCUGCACAAUUUUAACCACGUCUUUAGGCUUCCCUGGCGAGGGGCUGCCGUGCCGGGGGCCUGGGCAAGCGAAGAAGGUGAUGCUCGAGGGAAAGGGUGCGCCCGGGCUGCUUGCCCCUCGCCAGGCAGCUCAGGAAGCGGCACUGACAUCAGCUCCAGCGGUCAGGCCGCCAGGAAAAACAGCCCGCAGCGAAGGCUGCCGGAGGAGGAGCGUGAAUGAGAUGGGACCAGGGCGAGGGGAGCGAGCAGGGCGAGGAGUGGAGAGAGGAGGAGGCAGCUGAGAAAUGGGCCGGGGCUAAACUCGGCCCCCGAGAUGCUCUCUGGGACUGCACCCAGCCCUUACGCAGGCUGCUUCCCACCGAAGUCACGCGCUGAAAGGCUGUCAGAGCGAGGAACAGGGAUGUUUACUAUCCUGCCAUCUGCAGUUUGCCCAAAAUAAUAGCUAUAGAUAUGAGAUCAACUGAAGACGUUUCAGUUAUUGACACAUGCUGGAGUUAGAGAUUUAUUUUCCGUUUCCCACAAACUGUGCCAGAGGUUUUAGCACAAGUGCAAAAAAAAAAAAUAAUGAAGAAAUGCCAGCGAGUGAGGAACACGAAGAGUUUAUUCAUUGCUCCUGUCAGAAUGUGUUUGUGCUUGUGUGGCUAGCACUCCAAAAAAGCUGCGGCAUAUGUUUUCAGGAUGGAAAAAACCUCAGGAUACCUAAAUCCCACCAGACAAUUACCAAAUUGUAUGCUGGCAUUCACAAGGUAUCCUUCUGCAAGAGCACAGCAGCCUCACCUCUCUUCUUUUUGACCCCUCACUAAGUGAAAUAACAGUCCUCCUUAACAAAUCCUCCUGACAUCCCUUUUUCUCUCUGUAAAAGCAAAAUAUGGACUUGAUUUGUACAAGCUCUGCUAUUCCAGAAAUGCGCUUCAUCCAAAUGAGGAGAGCAGGAGAGAGGAAGCAAGAAAUUUGUGCUGUUUAGUAAACAGGCAGUUUCUAGGUGGAUACAAGAUGCUGGUCCCAAUUUACUGCCCACCCCCCCGCUCUGAAAUUUGCCUCGGUGGCAGAACGAGGAGGCGGAAGGGACAAGCACAGCUAGUGCUCGCCGUGUGAAAGGUCUGUGUUUCCCGUACAUCUCAGCGCGACAACACCCUGCAAACACCCAGGGAAAAGAGAACGGGAUUUUUUCAGUAAAAUCAUUGUGCGCUGGUAUUUCCUUUCAGCAGAAAGGGCAGAAAUACCACCCCUCCUCGCUUCUGGUAUGCCUGUCUCCCGGAGAGGGUAAAGGAAAGAGGGGAGGGGAGAGGAGGAGCCUGGCCGGCCGCCUCCUCACUACAGCACUGUCCUCCACGCAGAAGCGAGUAACUCUCAAGGAACUUCCGAAGAGCUCUCCAUCGCCUAUGAAUGACCCCUCCUCAAGAAACAUGUCCUUGAUGCCAGGGGGAGAGCCGUUUCCGAGAGUGCUUUCUUCCCAUCUGUACCUGGCUACGCCAUCACAGGACCUUCGAAAGACAGAUAAUAUAUUUAGCUAAAAAACAACAGUAAUACAUUAAAUAACUGUAAUGGUCCGAGGAGAAGAAACACAGCAUCUUUCCUCAGAUAUCACCAUUCUGCCCUUGAAAUCAUUAAAAAAAACCCACUAACAACAAAAAAGGAGUGAGAGGGAGAGAAAUUAAAAGUCUGGCUUUGCAGCCUAACCCAAACACAGCUACUCUUUGGUUCCAGCACAGCAAAAAGAUGCUCAAUACAUCACAGGGACUGGAGCAAACGCUACAACGCAGAUACCCCCACAGAGAAGACACGAUUGCAAAUAUACAUUUGGUGACAUAAACUCACAACAUUCACUAUGUUCUUCUUCAGGGAAUUCUGGAUUAUCCUGUAGCAUGAAGAUUUUUCAGAAGUUGCUGGAUUGCUCACAGAGCUUCACUGGCUUUCCUCUUUCAAAUAAGGUGGAAUCCAUGUUUCCUAACUGAAAGCAUGUGCAAAACGAAGGUCUACACCUGAGACAGUCCCAGCUCUCUUUACAUUCAGUGGAGAAAACUAGGCAACCUAGAAAAUAAUUAAAUUUGACCUAUCUGAAGCAUCUACUUUAGGACAGAAUGAAUCACUCUCUAGAAAGGUCUGUUUCUUUCCCUCCAUAAAGUGAGUCUAGACGCUUAGCUCAGACUAGAUGGCUACAGACGAAUGCAGAUGAAUCUCGCCCUACGUGAAGUGAAGGCAGGAAGCAAGUCAGACAGACGGACAAGAGCAGUUCAUGGGUGAAGAGUAAGGGGAAGACAACGCAAUGGUAGUAGGCAGGGGAAACUAAUUGAAGUUACAGUCCUAAGACGGUCCAUUUUAGUUGAACAAACAACAGCAAAACCCUCCUAAACCCAACCCACUGUUUCCCCAGCUGAUCCAGCCAGCUUUGGUGUAAGGCUGGGGCUAGGUCCUCACAGAGGAACAAUGUUUGCCAUCUCCUCCAGCUGGCUGGGACUCUCCCUCGCACACUGGUAACGACGAUGAUGAUGAUGACGACGACUACAACCAUCAGAUGGUUUCUGCCCUCUCCCUGAUGGAUCAUAGCAAUGCAAUACACCUGUUUCAAAAGCCUUCAAAGGUUAAGAGGUUAAGAAACCCUGAGCUGGAAGUACAGCUCCUCAGUGACACAGACACUGCAGCCUUAAGACCCUUCAGAUAUCCAGGCUAAAUUUCCAGGACUUAGGUCAACAAACUUCUCCGGUAAACGGGACCCUGCUGCUAUUCUGUGUGCACAGAGAAGCACGCAGUCAGACAUUAUCUCAUAAGCUUUGUAACUUUAGAAAUCCAACCAAAAGAAGUAAAAUACAACUUUUAAGUCAAGCCUCAACAUUUUGUUUAACCCCAAGCAAUUUAUAUUCAAGCUAUUUAUUUUUUCCUUAAAUUAGGUGAAUCUC